rnacentral:piRNA from 1 species
UGAACAGGCUUCGAAUCCAAUCAGGGAGCA